rnacentral:rRNA from 1 species
GUGCCAGCAGCCGCGGUAAUACGGGAGUGGCAAGCGUUAUCCGGAAUUAUUGGGCGUAAAGCGUCCGCAGGCGGCCCAGAAAGUCUGUUGUUAAAAAGUGGAGCUCAACUCCAUCCAGGCAAUGGAAACUACUGGGCUAGAGUGUGGUAGGGGCAGAGGGAAUUCCCGGUGUAGCGGUGAAAUGCGUAGAUAUCGGGAAGAACACCAGUGGCGAAGGCGCUCUGCUGGGCCAUAACUGACGCUCAUGGACGAAAGCUAGGGGAGCGAAAGGGAUUAGAUACCCCUGUAGUCCUAGCCGUAAACGAUGAACACUAGGUGUCGGGAGAAUUAUCCCUCUCGGUGUCGUAGCCAACGCGUUAAGUGUUCCGCCUGGGGAGUACGCACGCAAGUGUGAAACUCAAAGGAAUUGACGGGGGCCCGCACAAGCGGUGGAGUAUGUGGUUUAAUUCGAUGCAACGCGAAGAACCUUACCAGGGCUUGACAUCCUGCGAACCCCUGAGAGAUCGGGGGGUGCCUUCGGGAACGCAGUGACAGGUGGUGCAUGGCUGUCGUCAGCUCGUGUCGUGAGAUGUUGGGUUAAGUCCCGCAACGAGCGCAACCCACGUCUUUAGUUGCCAGCAUUCAGUUGGGCACUCUAGAGAGACCGCCGGUGAUAAACCGGAGGAAGGUGUGGAUGACGUCAAGUCAUCAUGCCCCUUACGUCCUGGGCUACACACGUACUACAAUGCUACGGACAAAGGGCAGCAAACUCGCGAGAGCUAGCAAAUCCCAUAAACCGUGGCUCAGUUCAGAUCGUAGGCUGCAACUCGCCUACGUGAAGGAGGAAUCGCUAGUAAUCGCAGGUCAGCAUACUGCGGUGAAUACGUUCCCGGGCCUUGUACACACCGCCCGUCACACC